rnacentral:snRNA from 1 species
AACCCUCAACCCUGGGAUUAUCCGAUAAAAUUAGAGCGAUACAGGUAAGAUAAGCAUGGCCCCUGCGCAAGGAUGACACUCACAAAUCGAGAAGUGUACCAAGUGAGU